GUAUCGUAAAGCAGAUAUUCAACAAAGCAUACAAAAGUGGGAAAGAUCCAUAUCUCGCUAUGCUCGAGUAUAGAAAUACUCCGAUAAGCGGACUGCUUUAUUCGCCAUCACAACUGCUGAUGAGUAGAAGACUCAGGGACAUCAUUCCAACUGAUCCCAAACUAUUGAAACCAUCGGUAGCUGAAAAUGCAGAGACAUUACUCAACGAACGACAGAGGAAAAGCAAAGUAAAAUACGAUUCAAAAGCAAGGUUACCUAAAGACUACUCUGUCGGGGAGAAGGUGAGAGUUCGUCUAGGACAAACAUGGCAGAAAGCAGUCGUCAUUAAGAAACAUCCAUCACCCAGAUCUUACAUCAUAAAGACAAAUGAUGGGAAAACAUACAGACGAAAUCAACGGUUUUUAAACAAGAGCUACGAAGAAGACAUCUCUGGGUACUAUGACACCGACGAAGACAAUGAACAGCAAACUGUUAGAACAAAAGAAACAGACAAUAAUAAACCAACAUCUAGAGAACUUGCUGUGCCGGUCAAGACAACCAGAAGUGGUCGAGUUGUCAAAAUUCCUUGUAAAUAUAAGUAUUAAGAACUUUAAAAGGAAGGAUGUGAUGAUAGCUUCAAAAGGAAGGAUGUGUUAAUAUUAGAAGAUAUUACGUCAUUGUUUGUUGUUUAUGUUUUAUGCGAAAGCAAAGAAUCGGACGGAAAUAAAAAGUGAGUUAUAUAUGUCUACCUUGAUCAAGACAGUCUCGUUAUUAUCAUUAUUAAUUAGUAACGUCUACAGUAAUUCAUUAUUAAUCUGUGACUACAGAACAGAAACUAUAAAGCACAUUUCUACACUGUUCAAGAUAAUUGUUAUUUGUGAAGGACUUUGUAGCGGCUACUUUAGAUCAUAGGACAAUUCCACCAAACCAAUAACAAUUCGUAUGAGACUGGACAUGUCAUCUCUAGGACUUAGAACAUUGUUGGUCUCUCCAUAGAUUCAUCCGAAUAUAUUCACACUAACGUCGAUCUCGGGACAUCUAGGAAGUAGGUAGACUGGAAACCAAUCGAUUGUAACCCACACUUCACUCAUCUACCCUACUGAAAUAGACACCUAAGUGUUGAUGCGUGACUCACACUGUGACUAGGCCAAGAAUAGGGCUCAGCUAGGAUCUACAACUUGGCUAUAGCCUAGGACUCAGCAAGGACCUACAACUUGGCUAUAACCUAGAACUCUGCAAGGACCUACAACUUGGCUAUAACCUAGGACUCUGCAAGGACCUACAACUUGGCUAUAACCUAGGACUCAGCUAGGACCUACAACUUGGCUAUAACCUAGGACUCAGCAAGGACCUACAACUUGGCUAUAACCUAGGACUCUGCAAGGACCUACAAUUUGGCUAUAACCUAGGACUCUGCAAGGACCUAAGGGAUGGAUGGAUAGAUGGAACUAGAAAACGACAGGAUCGUUUGGUCCAUUCUUCAAAAUGCCCACAUGUGUUACCAUAGGUACAAUGAAAAUGGAAACUUAAGUAAAUAGAAACUGAUAAAUAAUAAAAUAAAAUGGAUAACUGUA